rnacentral:rRNA from 1 species
AACGAACGCUGGCGGCGUACUUAACACAUGCAAGUCGGACGAGAAAGGAGACUUCGGUCUCUGAGUAAAGUGGCGUACGGGUGCGUAACACGUAAGUAAUCUACCCCGAACUCUGGGAUAACCCUCCGAAAGGAGGGCUAAUACCAGAUAGGGUCCCCGAGGUGUAGGCUGCGGGGGGAAAACGGGCCUCUGCUUCAUGCUCGUGGUUCGGGAUGAGCUUGCGGCCCAUUAGCUUGUUGGUAGGGUAAUGGCUUACCAAGGCGACGAUGGGUAGCUGGUCUGAGAGGAUGAUCAGCCACACUGGCACUGAGACACGGGCCAGACUCCUACGGGAGGCAGCAGUGGGGAAUUUUGCGCAAUGGGCGAAAGCCUGACGCAGUAACGCCGUGUGGAGGAUGAAGGCCUUCGGGUUGUAAACUCCUGUCAGGGGGAACGACGGAGAAAGGGUGAUAAACCCUUUCCUCCAGACGGUACCUCCAAAGGAAGCCCCGGCUAAUUCCGUGC